rnacentral:tRNA from 3 species
GCCCGGAUGGCGAAAUCGGUAGACGCAAGAGACUUAAAAUCUCUCGGGGGAAACCCCGUGCCGGUUCAAGUCCGGCUCCGGGCACCA